rnacentral:rRNA from 1 species
AACGAACGCUGGCGGCAUGCCUAACACAUGCAAGUCGAACGAGACCUUCGGGUCUAGUGGCGCACGGGUGCGUAACGCGUGGGAACCUGCCCUUAGGUUCGGAAUAACUCCCCGAAAGGGGUGCUAAUACCGGAUAAUGUCUUCGGACCAAAGAUUUAUCGCCUUUGGAUGGGCCCGCGUUGGAUUAGCUAGUUGGUAGGGUAAAAGCCUACCAAGGCGACGAUCCAUAGCUGGUCUGAGAGGAUGAUCAGCCACACUGGGACUGAGACACGGCCCAGACUCCUACGGGAGGCAGCAGUGGGGAAUAUUGGACAAUGGGCGAAAGCCUGAUCCAGCAAUGCCGCGUGAGUGAUGAAGGCCUUAGGGUUGUAAAGCUCUUUUACCCGGGAUGAUAAUGACAGUACCGGGAGAAUAAGCUCCGGCUAACUCCAU